GUCGAGGAUCAUUCGCAAUGGGCGAAAGCCUGACGAUGCGACGCUGCGUGGAGGAUGAAGGCCCUCGGGUCGUAAACUCCUGUCAUGGGGGGCGAGGCGGAGGCGGUUAACGGCCGCCCGAGUUGACGGUACCCCAAGAGGAAGCCACGGCUAACUCUGUGCCAGCAGCCGCGGUAAUACAGAGGUGGCGAGCGUUGUUCGGAUUUACUGGGCGUAAAGGGCGCGUAGGCGGCCGCGUGUGUGGGGUGUGAAAUCUCCGGGCUCAACCCGGAAAGUGCGCUCCAAACUGCGCGGCUCGAGUGCGGGAGGGGAGAUCGGAAUGCAGGGUGUAGCGGUGAAAUGCGUUGAUAUCCUGCAGAACACCGGUGGCGAAGGCGGAUCUCUGGAACGCAACUGACGCUGAGGCGCGAAAGCAGGGGGAGCAAACAGGAUUAGAAACCCCUGUAGUCC
rnacentral:rRNA from 1 species